AGAACGAACGCUGGCGGCAGGCUUAACACAUGCAAGUCGAGCGCCCCGCAAGGGGAGCGGCAGACGGGUGAGUAACGCGUGGGAACGUACCCCUCGGUUCGGAAUAACUCAGGGAAACUUGAGCUAAUACCGGAUACGGCAUUCAAGAGAAAUCUUGGCGGCGAAAGAUUUAUCGCCGAGGGAUCGGCCCGCGUCCGAUUAGCUAGUUGGUGUGGUAAUGGCGCACCAAGGCGACGAUCGGUAGCUGGUCUGAGAGGAUGAUCAGCCACAUUGGGACUGAGACACGGCCCAAACUCCUACGGGAGGCAGCAGUGGGGAAUAUUGGACAAUGGGCGCAAGCCUGAUCCAGCCAUGCCGCGUGAGUGAUGAAGGCCUUAGGGUGUAAAGCUCUUUCGCCCACGACGAUAAUGACGGUAGUGGGAGAAGAAGCCCGGCUAACUUCGUGCCAGCAGCCGC
rnacentral:rRNA from 1 species